rnacentral:sRNA from 1 species
AGCAGCCGCGGUAAUUCCAGCUCCAAUAGCGUAUAUUAAAGUUGUUGCAGUUAAAAAGCUCGUAGUUGAAUUUCGGGGUCAGUAGGUUGGUCGUGCCACAGGUAUGCACUGGUCUCACUGAUUCCUCCUUCCUGAUGAACCGUAAUGCCAUUAAUUUGGUGUUGCGGGGAGACUGGACUGUUACUUUGAAAAAUUAGAGUGUUUAAAGCAGGCUAACGCUUGAAUACAUUAGCAUGGAAUAACGGAAUAGGACGUUCGAUCUUAUUUUGUUGGUUUCUAAGAUUGACGUAAUGAUUAAUAGGGAUAGUUGGGGGCAUUAGUAUUCAAUUGUCAGAGGUGAAAUUCUUGGAUUUAUUGAAGACUAACUACUGCGAAAGCAUUUGCCAAGGAUGUUUUCAUUAAUCAAGAACGAAAGUUAGGGGAUCGAAGACGAUCAGAUACCGUCGUAGUCUUAACCAUAAACUAUGCCGACUAGGGAUCGGAUGACGUUAAUUUUUUAAUGACUCAU